rnacentral:rRNA from 1 species
UAAUACGUAGGGUGCGAGCGUUAAUCGGAAUUACUGGGCGUAAAGCGUGCGCAGGCGGUUCGCUGUGUCCGAUGUGAAAGCCCCGGGCUUAACCUGGGAAUGGCAUUGGAAACUGGCGGGCUUGAGUGCGGCAGAGGGGGGUGGAAUUCCGCGUGUAGCAGUGAAAUGCGUAGAGAUGCGGAGGAACACCGAUGGCGAAGGCAGCCCCCUGGGUCGACACUGACGCUCAGGCACGAAAGCGUGGGGAGCAAACAGGAUUAGAUACCCUGGUAGUCCACGCCCUAAACCAUGUCAACUGGGUGUUGGGGAAGCGAUUCCCUAGUACCGUAGCUAACGCGUGAAGUUGACCGCCUGGGGAGUACGGCCGCAAGGUU